rnacentral:rRNA from 1 species
CCCAGACUCCUACGGGAGGCAGCAGUGAGGAAUAUUGGUCAAUGGCCGGAAGGCUGAACCAGCCAAGUCGCGUGAGGGACGACUGCCCUAUGGGUUGUAAACCUCUUUUAUAAGGGAAGAAUAAAUGCUACGUGUAGCAUGAUGCCUGUACCUUAUGAAUAAGCAUCGGCUAACUCCGUGCCAGCAGCCGUGGUAAUACGGAGGGUGCGAGCGUUAAUCGGAAUUACUGGGCGUAAAGCGCACGUAGGCUGUAUGACAAGUCAAGGGUGAAAUGCCACGGCUCAACCGUGGAACUGCCUUUGAAACUGUCAAACUGGAGUAUGUGAGAGGGCGGCGGAAUUCCUGGUGUAGGAGUGAAAUCCGUAGAUAUCAGGAGGAACAUCAGUGGCGAAGGCGGCCGCCUGGCACAAAACUGACGCUGAGGUGCGAAAGCGUGGGUAGCAAACAGGAUUAGAUACCCUUGUAUG